CAGUAGCGUAUAUUAAAGUUGUUGCAGUUAAAAUGCUCGUAGUUGAAGUUCGGAUGCAGCAGAGCUUGGAAACGCUGUUAUGGUGCUUCCGUUGCUUUUGCUUGUCCACAGUGCGUUGCAAGUACGUAUGUGCUUGUGCGUGCAUUUUACUUUGAGAAACAUAGGGUGUUCCACGCAUGUUACGGCAUGAAUAUUCCAGCAUGGGAUAAUCUGGUACGACUUCCAAUCUGCCAUUUUGGUUCGUAGGUUGGAAGUAAUGAUUAAUAGGGACUGUCGGGGGCAUUGGUAUUUGACUGUCAGAGGUGAAAUUCUUAGAUUUAUGGAAGACGAACAUCUGCGAAAGCAUUUGCCAAGGAUGUUUUCAUUGA
rnacentral:rRNA from 1 species